GAUGAACGCUGGCGGCGUGCUUAACACAUGCAAGUCGAACGGAGAUUAUUAAAGGAAGUUUUCGGAUGGAAUUUAAUGAUCUUAGUGGCGGACGGGUGAGUAACGCGUGGGUAACCUGCCUCAUACAGGGGGAUAACACUUAGAAAUAGGUGCUAAAACCGCAUAAGCGCACAGUAUCGCAUGAUACAGUGUGAAAAACUCCGGUGGUAUGAGAUGGACCCGCGUCUGAUUAGCUAGUUGGUGAGGUAACGGCCCACCAAGGCGACGAUCAGUAGCCGGCCUGAGAGGGUGAACGGCCACAUUGGGACUGAGACACGGCCCAAAACUCCUAACGGGGAGGCAGCAGUGGGGAAUAUUGCACAAUGGGGAAACCCUGAUGCAGCGACGCCGCGUGAGUGAAGAGUAUUUCGGUAUGUAAAGCUCUAUCAGCAGGAAGAAAAUGACGGUACCUGACUAAGAAGCCCCGGCUAACUACGUGCCAGCAGCCGUAAAGUCGCGA
rnacentral:rRNA from 1 species